rnacentral:ncRNA from 1 species
UACUGCCCAGUGAAGAGUCGCCGACUGUGGCGGCCUGCUACCGGACAUUGAGCCGGAGCUAGUUGGGCGGUUUUUC